rnacentral:rRNA from 1 species
GGGGGAUAACCCGGAGAAAUCCAGGCUAAUACCGCAUAUGGACGACGAACCUGAGAGUAGUCGUCGAAAGAGCGCCUCUUUACAAUGCGCUCGCUAAUCGAUGGGCCUGCGUAGCAUUAGCUAGUUGGUGGGGUAACGGCCUACCAAGGCAUCGAUGCUUAGCGGAUCUGAGAGGAUGAUCCGUCACACUGGAACUGAGACACGGUCCAGACUCCUACGGGAGGCAGCAGUGGGGAAUAUUGCGCAAUGGACGAAAGUCUGACGCAGCAAUACCGCGUGAGUGAGGAAGGCCUUCGGGUUGUAAAGCUCUGUCAGGGUGGAAAAACGGCAGUCGGUCUAAUAGGCCGAUUGAUUGAUGGUACACCCAAAGGAAGCACCGGCUAACUUCGUGCCAGCAGCCGCGGUAAUACGAAGGGUGCAAGCGUUGUUCGGAUUUAUUGGGCGUAAGGCGCGCGCAAGCGGACAUGC